GACGAACGCUGGCGGCGUGCUUAACACAUGCAAGUCGAACGGAAAGGCCCUGCUUUUGUGGGGUGCUCGAGUGGCGAACGGGUGAGUAACACGUGAGUAACCUGCCCUUGACUUUGGGAUAACUUCAGGAAACUGGGGCUAAUACCGGAUAGGAGCUCCUGCUGCAUGGUGGGGGUUGGAAAGUUUCGGCGGUUGGGGAUGGACUCGCGGCUUAUCAGCUUGUUGGUGGGGUAGUGGCUUACCAAGGCUUUGACGGGUAGCCGGCCUGAGAGGGUGACCGGCCACAUUGGGACGGAGAUACGGCCCAGCGUGCUGCGGGAGGCAGCAGUGGGGGAUAGUGCCCAAUGGGCGGGAGCCUGAUGCAGCAACGCCGCGUGCGGGAUAACGGCCUUCGGGUUGUAAACCGCUUUCGCCUGUGACGAAGCGUGAGUGACGGUCAUGGGUAUAGAAGCACCGGCUAACUUCGUG
rnacentral:rRNA from 1 species